UACGAAGGGGGCUAGCGUUGCUCGGAAUCACUGGGCGUAAAGCGCACGUAGGCGGAUCUUUUAAGUCAGGGGUGAAAUCCUGGAGCUCAACUCCAGAACUGCCUUUGAUACUGAGGAUCUCGAGUCCGGGAGAGGUGAGUGGAACUGCGAGUGUAGAGGUGAAAUUCGUAGAUAUUCGCAAGAACACCAGUGGCGAAGGCGGCUCACUGGCCCGGUACUGACGCUGAGGUGCGAAAGCGUGGGGAGCAAACAGG
rnacentral:rRNA from 1 species